rnacentral:rRNA from 1 species
GGAGGGUGCAAGCGUUAAUCGGAAUUACUGGGCGUAAAGCGCACGCAGGCGGUUUGUUAAGUCAGAUGUGAAAUCCCCGGGCUCAACCUGGGAACUGCAUCUGAUACUGGCAAGCUUGAGUCUCGUAGAGGGGGGUAGAAUUCCAGGUGUAGCGGUGAAAUGCGUAGAGAUCUGGAGGAAUACCGGUGGCGAAGGCGGCCCCCUGGACGAAGACUGACGCUCAGGUGCGAAAGCGUGGGGAGCAAACAGGAUUAGAUACCCUGGUAGUCCACGCCGUAAACGAUGUCGACUUGGAGGUUGUGCCCCUUGAGGCGUGGCUUCCGGAGCUAACGCGUUAAGUCGACCGCCUGGGGAGUACGGCCGCAAGGUUA